UGCGGAGAUACAUGCAUUGGAUGUAUCACAAGACCAAUGGCAUAGGAUUGAUUCUGAUAUUCUAAAAGGAAGGUUCAUGUUCUCUGUUGCUAGUAUUCAGGAUGAUGUUUAUAUUGUUGGAGGUUGUUCUAGCUUGACUCACUUUGGGAGAGUGGAUAGGAGCUCAUUCAGAACUCACAAAGGGGUGCUGGUCUUCAGCCCUUUAACAAAAUCUUGGCGCAAAGUUGCUUCAAUGAGGUAUGCAAGAUCAAUGCCUAUUUUGGGAAUUUCUGAGGUUAGCUCUGAUUUUUCAAUUGUUCAGAGUCAUCAGCAUCGGCAAGAAAGGCAUUUUCCCAGGUCUCGAAUUGGUGGGGUAUCAGAUGUUUAUGAGGAUCCCCAUCGGCUUUCGCUAAGACGUCAGUACAGAAAUGCUUUUGAUGAAAAUGAUACAUCAUUGUUACACGGCAGAAAGUCACACAGGUUCACCAGGCAAAAAAAUGAUCAGCCAAAUGCUAAGGGUUGUAAAAGGUUUGUGUUGGUUGCUGUAGGAGGUCUUGGAUCUUGGGACGAGCCUCUGGAUUCUGGAGAAAUUUAUGAUCCCAUAUCAAAUAAAUGGACAGAAAUCCAGAAGCUGCCCAUAGAUUUUGGGGUGGUAUGUUCUGGGGUUGUAUGUAAUGGGAUUUUUUAUGUUUAUUCUGAGACAGACAAGCUCAUGGGAUAUGACAUAGAAAGGGGCUUCUGGAUUGGAAUCCAAACCUUCCCAUUCCCUCCCCGUGUUUAUGAGUAUUACCCUAAACUUGUAUCUUGUAACGGUCGAUUAUUCAUGCUUUCAGUCUCCUGGUGUGAAGGAGAUGGUCAAAUAGGCCAGAGGAACAAGGCUGUUAGGAAAUUGUGGGAGCUAGAUCUUAUGUAUCUUACCUGGACCGAAGUGUCAGUACAUCCGGAUGCUCCAAUGGACUGGAAUGCUGCAUUUGUUGCGGACAAAAACCUUAUAUUUGGGGUGGAAAUGUUCAAAAUAUUUGGUCAAGUGUUGGACUUCCUGACUGUAUGUGAUGUGUCAGAGACAGGGACGAAAUGGAGUCAUAUUUCAAGGAAUCACAUGACUCAUGAAUUGGAUGCUUCUUCAUGUAUUACUAAAUCACUGGCCGUGCUGCAUAUGUGAAGUCCCUUGAUUACUCUGAUUGGUGAAGAAAAUUUUACGUUUAUUAUCACGUGGGGAUUUUGAGCAUAGAUUGUGACUCCGAAUUUCAUUCUUGGGACUUAAUCAGUUUGCACCUGGGCAGUUUAUUGUGUCUAUUUUUCUUCACUGC
rnacentral:misc_RNA from 1 species